rnacentral:sRNA from 1 species
CUUCGCCGCCGGCCGACGGGCGCCAUUGUGCGGCGCGCGCCGGGACUCUGCCCACUUCCACCAAAGACACAGUGAGAAGGAGGAAACUAUGGCCUCAAGGCUUCCGACGGCCUGGUCCUGUGAACCAGUGACCUUUGAAGAUGUAACACUGGGUUUUACCCCGGAAGAGUGGGGACUGCUGGACCUCAAACAGAAGUCCCUGUACAGGGAAGUGAUGCUGGAGAACUACAGGAACCUGGUCUCAGUGGAACAUCAGCUUUCCAAACCAGAUGUGGUAUCUCAGUUAGAGGAGGCAGAAGAUUUCUGGCCAGUGGAGAGAGGAAUUCCUCAAGACACCAUUCCAGAGUAUCCUGAGCUCCAGCUGGACCCUAAAUUGGAUCCUCUUCCUGCUGAGAGUCCCCUGAUGAACAUUGAGGUUGUUGAGGUCCUCACACUGAACCAGGAGGUGGCCGGUCCCCGGAAUGCCCAGAUCCAGGCCCUAUAUGCUGAAGAUGGAAGCCUGAGCGCAGAUGCCCCCAGUGAGCAGGUCCAACAGCAGGGCAAGCAUCCAGGUGACCCUGAGGCUGCGCGCCAGAGGUUCCGGCAGUUCCGUUAUAAGGACAUGACAGGUCCCCGGGAGGCCCUGGACCAGCUCCGAGAGCUGUGUCACCAGUGGCUACAGCCUAAGGCACGCUCCAAGGAGCAGAUCCUGGAGCUGCUGGUGCUGGAGCAGUUCCUAGGUGCACUGCCUGUGAAGCUCCGGACAUGGGUGGAAUCACAGCACCCAGAGAACUGCCAAGAGGUGGUGGCCCUGGUAGAGGGUGUGACCUGGAUGUCUGAGGAGGAAGUACUUCCUGCAGGACAACCUGCCGAGGAUACCACCUGCUGCCUCGAGGUCACUGCCCAGCAGGAGGAGAAGCAGAAGGAGGAUGCGGCCAUCUGCCCAGUGACAGUGCUCUCUGAGGUAAGCGGGGAGUAUCACCCUGUUUUGGUCACAGCAUCUCCUGUGAGGCAGGCCCACCCCUGAGGUAUCCACUCUGCCCUGGGCUUUCCUAAGACCUCCCACAGGCUGGGGCAUUCUGAGAUUCUGAGCUCUUAGGUCUGUGCUGAAGCAAUCUGAGUAUGAAGAGCAGCCCUGCCCUCCAGCCGCUGUGGCAUCAUUGGAGACAAGGCAUGGUGACCCAGGAGCUGAGAAAGGAGGAGGCAAAAGGGAAGGGACUAAGUGUUUACAGAGACUUGAGAGGUGGAACUACCACAGGCAGGCACAUCGGUAUCCAGGUCAG